CCCUGAGUGGUGUAAAUGAUUAACACAUUCGGCUACUAAUCGAAAGGUUGGAGGUUCAAAUCCACCCAGAGGUG
rnacentral:tRNA from 1 species